GCGGCCUAUCAGCUUGUUGGUGGGGUAAUGGCCUACCAAGGCGACGACGGGUAGCCGGCCUGAGAGGGCGACCGGCCACACUGGGACUGAGACACGGCCCAGACUCCUACGGGAGGCAGCAGUGGGGAAUAUUGCACAAUGGGCGGAAGCCUGAUGCAGCGACGCCGCGUGAGGGAUGACGGCCUUCGGGUUGUAAACCUCUUUCGACAGGGACGAAGCGCAAGUGACGGUACCUGUAGAAGAAGCACCGGCCAACUACGUGCCAGCAGCCGCGGUAAUACGUAGGGUGCGAGCGUUGUCCGGAAUUACUGGGCGUAAAGAGCUUGUAGGCGGUUCGUCGCGUCGAUCGUGAAAACUUGCAGCUCAACUGCGAGCUUGCGGUCGAUACGGGCGGACUAGAGUACUGCAGGGGAGACUGGAAUUCCUGGUGUAGCGGUGAAAUGCGCAGAUAUCAGGAGGAACACCGGUGGCGAAGGCGGGUCUCUGGGCAGUAACUGACGCUGAGAAGCGAAAGCGUGGGUAGCGAACAGGAUUAGAUACCCUGGUAGUCCACGCCGUAAACGGUGGGCGCUAGGUGUGGGUUUCCUUCCACGGGAUCCGUGCCGUAGCUAACGCAUUAAGCGCCCCGCCUGGGGAGU
rnacentral:rRNA from 1 species